rnacentral:rRNA from 1 species
AGCGAACGCUGGCGGCAGGCCUAACACAUGCAAGUCGAACGAACUCUUCGGAGUUAGUGGCGGACGGGUGAGUAACACGUGGGAACGUGCCUUUUGGUUCGGAAUAACUCAGGGAAACUUGUGCUAAUACCGAAUGUGCCCUUCGGGGGAAAGAUUUAUCGCCAUUAGAGCGGCCCGCGUCUGAUUAGCUAGUUGGUGAGGUAACGGCUCACCAAGGCGACGAUCGGUAGCUGGUCUGAGAGGGUGACCGGCCACACUGGGACGGAGACACGGCCCAGACUGCUUCCUGCGGGAGGAGGGGGUAGGGAUGCAUACUGAACGGGCGACAGCCGCACCCAGCCCUGGCGCGGGAAGGAGGCAGGUGUUAUGAUUGUAAAAUUCUUUCGCCGGGGACGGUAAGGACGGUACCUGGAGAAGAAGCCCCGGCUAACUUCGUG